UGUGCUUCUCGGCUCUCUGAGCUAAAAUCAUGUGUAGUAUCUGUUCUUUGCAGUGUAAUUUCUGACACUAUAAGAUCGUCAUUGGUGAAGGUUAAGGAUAGGUUACCAAAGGAAGAACAUCA
rnacentral:snRNA from 1 species